GAAAUGCGAUAAGUAGUGUGAAUUGCAGAAUUCAGUGAAUCAUCGAAUCUUUGAACGCACCUUGCGCUUCCUGGUAUUCCGGGGAGCAUGCCCGUUUCAGAAUCAUUACAACAUCAAAAACCAGCUGCUUAACAACAGGUGGACUUUUGAAUUUGGAUGCUUUGUUCUCGCAACAAUCGUCUCAAAAACAUUGUGUGUGCCCCAAUCCUCUCGAUUGGACAACUAAAGUGCAACAGAUUUAUCUCAAACUCUUUGGUGGUUACAAUUGAGCAAGGAUUGACAGCAUGCGCUCAACCUUAACACAGACAUGUUACCUGUAGGUACCGUGUCUGAUAACUUGGUCUGAAAUCGGGUAAGAAAACCCGCUGAACUUAA
rnacentral:misc_RNA from 1 species